rnacentral:rRNA from 1 species
AUUGAACGCUGGCGGCAUGCCUUACACAUGCAAGUCGAACGGCAGCAUGGAGAGCUUGCUCUCUGAUGGCGAGUGGCGAACGGGUGAGUAAUGCAUCGGAACGUACCGUGUAAUGGGGGAUAACGUAGCGAAAGUUACGCUAAUACCGCAUACGACCUGAGGGCGAAAGCAGGGGAUCGCAAGACCUUGCGUUAUACGAGCGGCCGAUGUCAGAUUAGCUAGUUGGUGAGGUAAAGGCUCACCAAGGCGACGAUCUGUAGCGGGUCUGAGAGGAUGAUCCGCCACACUGGGGAGGAGACACGGCCCAGACACCUACGGGAGGCAGCAGUGGGGAAUUUUGGUCAAUGGGGGAAACCCUGAUCCAGCCAUGCCGCGUGAGUGAAGAAGGCCUUCGGGUUGUAAAGCUCUUUCGGCCGGGAAGAAAUCGCACAGGCUAAUACUCUGUGUGGAUGACGGUACCGGCAUAAGAAGCAUCGGCUAAUUAUGUGCCAGCCGCCGCAGUAA